rnacentral:rRNA from 1 species
AAAAAAUCUGUGGGGGGCGCGGGCAUCUGGCGGCGAGCGGGAACGGGUGAGUAAUGCAUAGAACAUGCUCCUUGUGGUGGGGGAUAGCCCGGCGAAAGCCGGAUUAAUACCGCAUAAGCCCGAGAGGGGAAAGCCGGGGCACCGCAAGGCCUUGGCGCUUAUUGGUUUCCCGAUCCCGAUUUAGCUUAGUUGGGGGGGUAAGAGCCCCCCAAGGCGAUGAUCGGGUAGCUUGGCCUUGAGAGGACUGACCACCCACCCUUGGUUAUUGAAACACGGCCCAAACCCCUUACGGGAGGCAGUUGUGGGGAAUUUUGGACAGGGGGGAAACCCUUGAUCCACCCUUUUCCGGGGGAGAGAAGAAGGCCUUUCGGGUUGAAAAGCUUUUUUGCCCGGAACAAAACGAGUUCGGGCUUAAAACCUUGUGACCUCUGAGGGCCCCGAAAAAAUAACACCGGGCUAACUCCGUGCCCAGUAGCCCGCGGAUAUACCGUAGGGGGGGAAGCGGUU